CUCUGACGAAGUGAUCGAGAAUCACGAAACAUGUAAGGCGGCAUCUGCAAACCAAACACACACUGAUCCCGAGAGUGAGCAUCCUUGACACGCAUCCUGAGCCGCAGUGGAACGCAUGCGGCUAGAAACCAGCGGUACACAGCACGAGGAAAAUCCCAUUUACUUCUGUCCGGCCGGCGAGAAAGUAAUCUCAAUAUCCUUUUGGGCUCGAGGUCUGUUAACCUGGUAUUGGGGCUGUCUGAUUUGCUACUCUUUUUUGGGACUUUUAUUGAUAGCUACAUAUAUUUGUAGCAUUUUUUUGUCAUUUAUUAAUAAAUUUGGAAAAGUAUCUGUCUGCUGCAUCACAUUUUUAACCCUUGGAGGGGUUCUAUC